UCCCAGGUGGUCUAGUGGUUAGGAUUCGUGGCUCUCACCCACGCGGCCCAGGUUCAGAUUCCCCGUCUGGGAA
rnacentral:tRNA from 1 species